GUAGGUGGCAAGCGUUGUCCGGAAUUAUUGGGCGUAAAGCGCGCGCAGGCGGUUCUUUAAGUCUGAUGUGAAAGCCCACGGCUCAACCGUGGAGGGCCAUUGGAAACUGGAGAACUUGAGUACAGAAGAGGAAAGCGGAAUUCCACGUGUAGCGGUGAAAUGCGUAGAGAUGUGGAGGAACACCAGUGGCGAAGGCGGCUUUCUGGUCUGUAACUGACGCUGAGGCGCGAAAGCGUGGGGGAGCAAACAGGAUUAGAUACCCUGGUAGUCCACGCCGUAAACGAUGAGUGCUAAGUGUUAGGGGGUUUCCGCCCCUUAGUGCUGCAGCUAACGCAUUAAGCACUCCGCCUGGGAGUACGGCCGCAAGGCUG
rnacentral:rRNA from 1 species